ACGGCGGUGGUGAUGGUGGUGGUGGUGAUGACGGCGGUGGUGAUGGUGGUGGUGGUGAUGGCGGCGGUGAUGGUGGUGGUGGUGAUGACGGCGGUGGUGAUGGUGGUGGUGGUGGUGACGGCGGUGGUGGUGACGGCGGUGGUGAUGACGGCGGUGGUGAUGGUGGUGGUGGUGAUGACGGCGGUGGUGAUGACGGCAGUGGUGACAGGUGUUUGUGGUGAUGAAGGCGGUGGUGACAGGUGUUGGUGGUGAUGACGGUGGUGGUGGUGAGUUGAUGGUGGUGAUGACAGCGGUGGUGACAGGUGUUGGUGGUGAUGACGGUGGUGGUGGUGAGUUGAUGGUGGUGAUGGCAGUGAUGGUGGUGGUGGUGAUGGUGAUGGCAGUGUUGAUGGUGGUGGUGGUGAUGAUGGUGGUGGUGAUGGUGGUGGUGGUGAGUUGAUGGUGGUGAUGGCAGUGAUGGUGGUGGUGGUGGUGAUGGCAGUGUUGAUGGUGGUGGUGGUGAUGAUGGUGUUAGACCCUCAGCAGUGAUUGGGGUCAGCCGCCAUGUCCACUCCACCAAUUCCACCUCCAUUGACAUCGGCAGCGGCAGUGAUAGACAUAAGAAGAAGAGGAGGAAGAACAAGAGGAGGAGGAGGAGGAGGAUGAAGGGGACACACAGGAAUCAAAUGAUACUGCCAGAAGAAGAAGAGGAGGAGGAAGAGGAUACAGAGGAAUCAGUUG